rnacentral:rRNA from 1 species
AUUGAACGCUGGCGGCAUGCUUUACACAUGCAAGUCGAACGGCAGCGCGGGCUUCGGCCUGGCGGCGAGUGGCGAACGGGUGAGUAAUGCAUCGGAACGUGCCCAGUAGUGGGGGAUAGCCCGGCGAAAGCCGGAUUUAUACCGCAUACGACCUGAGGGUGAAAGCGGGGGACCGAAAGGCCUCGCGCCAUUGGAGCGGCCGAUGUCGGAUUAGCUAGUUGGUGGGGUAAAGGCUUACCAAGGCGACGAUCCGUAGCUGGUCUGAGAGGACGACCAGCCAGACUGGGAGUGAGACACGGCCCAGACUCCUACGGGAGGCAGCAGUGGGGAAUUUUGGACGAUGGGGGCAACCCUGAUCCAGCCAUGCCGCGUGCGGGAAGAAGGCCUUCUGGUUGUAAACCGCUUUUGUUCGGGAAGAAAUCCUCUGGGCUAAUACCCCGGGGGGAUGACGGUACCGGAAGAAUAAGCACCGGCUAACUACGUG